rnacentral:rRNA from 1 species
UACGUAGGGUGCAAGCGUUAAUCGGAAUUACUGGGCGUAAAGGGCGCGUAGGCGGCCAUCUAAGUCAGACGUGAAAUCCCCCGGCUCAACCUGGGAACUGCGUCUGAUACUGGGAGGCUAGAGUUUGGGAGAGGGAUGUAGAAUUCCAGGUGUAGCGGUGAAAUGCGUAGAUAUCUGGAGGAAUACCGGUGGCGAAGGCGGCAUCCUGGACCAAUACUGACGCUGAGGCGCGAAAGCUAGGGGAGCAAACGGG